rnacentral:lncRNA from 1 species
GCAACAGCCAGCGCGGCUCCUGGAGGGAAACGAGCAAGGCGGCCCCGCAGGUGUGGCGCGGCCCUGGGAGGGCGCGUGCGAGCGCUGCUUUGUUUGGUGCCCGCACAGCCCCGGGCUCCAGGCCUGAGCGCCAACCUUCCCGAGCUGAGUCACGGCUGCAGAGCCCGAGGGCGGCCAUACGGCCCCGCCCGGAAGGAUGAGGCCCCUUCCUGAAGCUGGCGAGUCCGAUGCGGUGGCAGGGACAAAAGCCAGGGGAAGGUGGCUUCUAUUCUACAAAGCCCUUUAGGGAAGGGGGGAGUCAGGCCGCCCUCACCCAGUGCAGGUCCGUCACGAUGGUCACCCAGAGCACUCACGCAGAAAGCCAGCUUGCAGCCGCCAGCCCUGAGGAUGCCGCCCCCAAAGGGCUCAUUGCUCUAAUCACCCGUCCAGGGGCUUGAGGCAAAGCUCCAAGACAGACCUGUAGCAGCAUGGCCCAAAAAGUUCCUCUGCUGCCCCAGUCCCAUACCUGCCUGAGGUACGGGGGUUCAGGCUGAGUCGGCUGACCUGGAGUCAUCUGGAAGCCUUGUCAGAAAUGCAGAUUCUGCAGUGCUGUUCCCAGAGGAUGAGAUUCAGCAGAACUGGGUGUUGGAUAUUAUAUGAAGAGAUUUGCAAGUGUUAUUUUACGUAAUUCGCACUUUACAAAGGAGGAAACUGCAGCGCAGGUACCAAGGUUGCCCCAUCUCGGUCCAGGCCUGCUCCCGGCGAGCCACUCGCCCUUGACCACGCCUCCUCUCUCCUGAUUGGCUGUCAGGCAUGAGUCGACAGAGAAAGAUGACCACUGCCCUCACCCCACUAAAGAAGCCCCAGCACUUAGCAAGCACUUAUGGCCC